rnacentral:rRNA from 1 species
UACGUAGGCAGCAAGCGUUGUUCGGAGUUACUGGGCGUAAAGGGUGCGUAGGUGGCUCUAUAAGUAUGGCGUGAAAUCUCCCGGCUUAACUGGGAGGGUGCGCCGUAGACUGUGGGGCUAGAGUGUGGGAGAGGAAAGUGGAAUUCCUGGUGUAGCGGUGAAAUGCGUAGAUAUCAGGAGGAACACCGGUGGUGUAAACGGCUUUCUGGACCAUAACUGACACUGAGGCACGAAAGCGUGGGUAGCAAACAGG